UCCGCACACGUGGUCUCGCGAAAAUUACGCACCGCGCACUGUGUUUAUCCGUCUCGGCGUGCGCAUAGUAUUCCAUUCUCUCCGCGCUUUGCACCACACGCCGCCAGUCAUUGCCGCACCAUUGGCGUAUUAAUAGGUCGAGCGUAGUAGUAGUACUACCGCUGCGCAGGAGCAAAGCAACAGCUAGGUCUCUCUGUGUGUAACUCUGCGACGCAGCCAAGGACGCAAGAAACCUCUAAUCGACUUAAGGACGUUCGUUUGUUGGUUGAGCAAGUCUCUCACCGAGUCAAGUCAACUGAGGUUGACUUAAGCCAUUAAUCGAUAGUCAAUGGUCGAUAUACAGUGAUGAAAUCUUUAUACCAACAGCUCUUCGAUUUGCCGUCUUACAUAACUGUAUUUGCCGUGACUUGGAGUCCGGGGAGUUCUGCAUUGGUAAGUUGGUAAGUUUGUGAUUCAAUUAUAGUUUUUGUUUUAAUUGUUGCGUCGAACAUUAGUUGGUAUUUAUGUAGUUUAAGUGGCGUCCAAAGAUGCGGAAUUAAAUUCUCUGUCGGGUUGUAUUUGUUUGUUGCAGGAAUUCGCCCUGCAAUCCGGGAAAAUUUGCAUAAAAGGGUGAUAUUUUUACCUUUUUUUGUGAAAUAUUGGUGUUCUUUUGGUUUUGCUCGCGAUCUAGGCUGCUCAAUAAUUUUAGUGCGACGUCAAAAGAUGCGGAAUUAAAUUCUCUAUUGGGGUGUAUUUGUUUGUUGCAGGAAUUCGACUUGUAACACACGACAAUUUCCAUAAAAGGGUGAUUUUUCACUCUUUGUCGUGAAAUGUUUGUGUUUUUCGACUUUGCUAGCGAUCUAGGCGGCUCAAUAACUUCUACGCGGCGUCAAAAGAUGCGGAAUUAAAUUCUCUGUCGGGCUGUAUUUGUAUGCUGCAGAAUUCCAUUUGCAACCCACGACAAUUUUCAUAAAAGGGUGAUUUUUCAUUCUUUGUCGUGAAAUGUUUGUGUUUUUCGACUUUGCUAGCGAUCUAGGCUGCUCCAUAACUUCAGCGUGGCGUCAAUAGAUGCGGAAUUAAAUUCUUUAACGGGUUGUAUUUGUUUGUUGCAGGAAUUUGACUUGCAAUCCGCAAAAAUUUCGUAAAAGGGUGAUAUUUUCACCCUUUUCGUGAAAUUUUGUGUUUUUUUCGGCUUUGCUCGCGAUCUAGGCGGCUCAAUAACUUCAGUGCGACGUCAAAAGAUGCGGAAUUAAAUUCUCUAUCAGGGUGUAUUUGUUUUUUGCAAGAAUUUGAUCUGCAACCCGCCAAAAUUUGCAUAAAAGGUGAUAUUUUCACCGUUUUUCGUGAAAUAUUUGUGUUUUUUUGGCUUUGCUCCCAAUCUAGGUGGCUCGAUAAUUUCAGCGUGGCGUCAAAAGAUGCGGCGGAAUUAAAUUCUAUGUCGGGUUGUAUUUGUAUUUUGCAGGAAUUCGAUCUGCAACCCGCAAACAUUUGUAUAAAAGGGUGCUAUUUUCACACUUUUCGUGAAAUAUUUGUAUUUUUCGGCUCUGCUCACGAUCUAGGCGGCUCCAUAAUUUCAGCGUGGCGUCAAAAGAUGCGGAAUUAAAUUCUCUGUCGGGUUGUAUUUGUUUGUUGCAGGAAUUCGACCUGCAAUCCGCGAAAAUUUGCAUAAAAAUGUGAUAUUUUUACCCUUUUUCGUGAAAUAUUUGUAUUUUUUCAAGUUUGCACGCGAUUUUGGAGGCUCUGAAAAUUUAGCGCGACGCCUAGAGAUGCGAAAUUAAAUUCUCCGUCGGGUGGUAUAUGUUUGUUGCAGGAAUUCGAUUUGCAACCUGCGAAAAUUUGCAUAAGAAGGUAAUUUCUUCACCCGUUAUCGUGAAAUAUUUGUCUUUUUUCGGGUUUGCACGCGAUCUUGGCGUUUUUUUGGUUUUCUUUUGUUAGUUUUCCUAACACUACGUAGAUAAUCGCCGGUAUUCGAGUGUUUUGAGUGUUCUUUGUUUCAACUACAGAUUUUCUUUCUGAAACACCCUGUAUAUUCAUUUUUCUUUGUAUCCGUGAAAAUUUUGCUUUAACUGUUGUUUUUAAAGUUAUUAUCAUUGCCCUUUGAAUUUUCUUUUUGUGACACCCUGUAUAUUAGUUUCCCGGAGCCUCUGGUGAAAAACGAAUGAUAUUUGUAGUGUUAAAAUGUUUUUCUGUUUUCACAUUAAAUUUUUGAUUUGUAACACUUUGUAUAUUUGUUUCCAUUUUUAAUCACAUGGAAAAUGAGCUAUUUGCUAAUUUCUGUAUCCCGGUAGAACAUUAUUACGUGGUACUUGCUUAUAUGUGCGUGGCGAUGCAGCUCGUAAGUCCUGUUUCAAUAUGGCGACAUGUAUUCUGUUGACUUGUAAAGUCUAAACUUGUAUUCUAUUAUUAAUAAAGAAAUAGUAAGAUAUAUUG